rnacentral:rRNA from 1 species
UACAGAGGAGCCAAGCGUUGUCCGGAUUGACUGGGCGUAAAGCGCACGCAGGCGGACGCGCGCGUGGGGUGUGAAAUCUGGCCGCUUAACGGCCAGGCGCCAUCCCAUACGGCGCGUCUGGAGUGAUGCAGAGGUCGGUGGAAUUGCCGGUGUAGUGGUGAAAUGCGUAGAGAUCGGCAGGAACACCCAGGGGGAAACCAGCCGACUGGGCAUGCUACUGACGCUGAGGGUGCGAGAGCGGUGGGGAGCAGAACCGG